rnacentral:rRNA from 1 species
AGUGAACGCUGGCGGUAGGCCUAACACAUGCAAGUCGAACGGCAGCACAGUAAGAGCUUGCUCUUACGGGUGGCGAGUGGCGGACGGGUGAGGAAUACAUCGGAAUCUACUUUUUCGUGGGGGAUAACGUAGGGAAACUUACGCUAAUACCGCAUACGACCUACGGGUGAAAGCAGGGGAUCUUCGGACCUUGCGCGAUUGAAUGAGCCGAUGUCGGAUUAGCUAGUUGGCGGGGUAAAGGCCCACCAAGGCGACGAUCCGUAGCUGGUCUGAGAGGAUGAUCAGCCACACUAGAACUGAGACACGGUCCAGACGCCUACGGGAGGCAGCAGUGGGGAAUAUUGGACAAUGGGCGCAAGCCUGAUCCAGCCAUACCGCGUGGGUGAAGAAGGCCUUCGGGUUGUAAAGCCCUUUUGUUGGGAAAGAAAAGCAGCAGGUUAAUACCCCGCUGUUCUGACGGUACCCAAAGAAUAAGCACCGGCUAACUUCGUG